UACGUAGGUGGCAAGCGUUAUCCGGAUUUACUAGGGCGUAAACGUGUGCAGGCGGGGGUACAAGUGGUGUAUGAAAUUCCCAGCUUAACUGGGAAGGGUUAUGCCAGACUGUACUUCUGGAGUGCGAGAGGGCGGUGGUGAAUUCCGGGGUGUAGUGGUGAAAUGCGUAGAGAUCCGGAGGAACCCACGAGGCGAAGGCGGCGCCUGGCUCGCAACUGACGCUCAGACACGACAGGCAUGG
rnacentral:rRNA from 1 species